rnacentral:lncRNA from 1 species
AAAGGAAAGGUUUUGGUUGAGAGCUUUAUCCCUAAGGAAGCCUGACAUAAGUGGUCGUGCACAUAAGGUAUACUUUUUGACACCCAAACGUUUUCUCUCUUCGCGUGAACAAAAGGAAUACACAACCGAAUAUUAGGAAUCAAAGUUCUCAAUUUGUUUAGGGUGUAACAAAAUAGGAGGAGUUAUAACCUUUCACUGAAUGCAUUAAAGUGGAAAUAUUAAAAUUUGGAAUCAUAGAAUACUACAAAUAUCUGUUCAUACCAUGUCUAAACACUAUGGGUCAAAAUCUAGGAUUGAAUUCUCACCAUUCCCUGUACUUGUCUCAGUGUAAUAUGCAAGUAGGACCAAUUCAUAGAUUAAUCAUAUUCAGUAGACGUUCUUGGGUAAAUUCUAUGUUAAUAACAAACUAUUGCAUUUUGGAAAACAAGAUGAAAUUGUUUAAGCAUAUUGCUUGAUUUUAAGGAAUCUUAUUGAUAGAUUCAUUCUUAGGAUAGGAAUCAUUAUUCUGUUGAAUCAAGAAAAUGUAACAUAAACUUUAACAAUUUUCUUACUUUCCUUUUUAUGUAGGGUGAGGGGGAAUCUUCAAGGUCUCAUCCUUCAGAUGAAAAGGAUUGAGAAAGAGAGGCUACAUGGCUGGCAUGAAUAGAAAAUAGAUGGGUAGCCUGAUGCUAUUGCAAAUUCAUUAUAUCCUACUUUUCUAGAAGAAUUAAGAUAAUAUAUUCCAGCCUCUACUGCAAAAUUAAACACAUUUGUAUUUGUAUGUUAUUUCCCCAUGAUUCUUUUAAGCAUAGUUAUCAAAAUUAAACACUUCUCGAUUUGUGUGCUAUUUCCUGAUCAUUAUUUGAACUGAAAUCUUAGUCUCAGUUAUUGCCUUAUCAACAAUGUCCAUAUGAAAGAUGAGAAUUCUCGUAUCAUUUGUUUUCUUGUUUUGUUUAUUUAUUUAUUUAUUUAUUUUUUAUUUUAGAAGCAACACUUUUAGGUCGCCCCUUUUUCUACACAUCACGAUACAGAAUAGUAUCACAUAUUAAUUUAUAUAUCUUAUCUUUACUGUCCUCUAUAUCUUUUAUUGUUACUAUUUGUGGUUGCCAAAAGAAUAUCAUAUUCUCAUUUAUUUUCAUUUUCCAGCUCAUCUUGAUAUCAUAUCAAGUUAUCAGUAGUGUUUUUGCAACAAAGUUAGACUCCACAAUCUGGUCAUUUGAGGCUGAAAAUAAAUCAUCAACAUCAACUUAUCUGUGGUCUUUAUGCACCACUCUCAUUUCGUGUCUUUUUCCCAUGUCCUCAUUGUCCUUAACAACUUGAACAUCACAUAACCCCGUGCCUGAUUCCACCUCAUUUGAGCUUAAAAAAAACCUGUUCAUCUCCUUACCAACAUCUUGAUUACCAUUGAAGUCAUUUUAUUGGCCAUAAUUAUCAUUCACACUUGCAUUAGUAACCUUGCUUUCAGUAUCCAGAUUGGAGAUGAUUGGAGAUACAAGGAGUAGAGGCUUUAAUUAACUCUUUUGCUUUCAGUAUCUGAAUACAACAAAAUGGCACCAAAAACAAAAACUAAGAAGCAACACCCAAAUGAUGAGAGAAGAUGCAACAUGGCCAAAAAGCAAUUAGCCAAAACUAUAUCAUUGGAGACAAUAAACCACUUCAACUUGGCCAAAAAGCAACAUGAAGCAAUUGGAAGCAAUGAAAGAAUACACUAUUUGAAAACUCUAAAUUGGAGCGAGUCACCAAUUUAAACUAAUAAUAUCCACAUCAAGAGUAUAUGCAUAGCUCCUCCACAUGUUGACUUUUUUUUUUUUCUUAACUACAAAUCUAGCCACUUUUUUUCAUAAUUUAAUAAAAGCUUUGUUUUCUAUUUAUCAUUAUUUGUAUACACAUAGCAAGAAAAGCUUAUAACUCCAGUGGGUGCAAUCUUUGGGAUAAAGUAUUUACAUAUAAAAACAUUUUACACAUUAAUUUGAACCAAUCAUUAUAAAGUUAGAAAAAUCAUAUUACUAUAUAAAUUAAUAAAUGUUUGAAAAUCAUUAAUUAAUGAUUAUAACUACAAAGUAUUAAUAUUAUUUUAAUUUACUAACUGCGGUUACUACGAGUUAGUUUAUAAAGAAGCAAACCACUUAAAGAUACCUUUUUCACUAUUCAAAUACUAGAAAUCACUUGAUCCUCUUCUUAACAAACCAUUAUUAUAACCACAAAAAAGAAGAAAUAUGAACAACAAGGUCUAAGAUGAGAGAGAGUCAAUACUCAUAAUUUUCUCAGGCCAACCCCACUUCUUAAAAUUUGGACAAUUUUAUGCAUACAACUAGUCUAGGAAUGACAUUUAUUAUUAACAAAUUGAAAUGAAAUGAAAAUGAAAUUUAAAGAGUAAAAUGGAAUAAGAUGUGUGGUUUUCAAUUGGUACGAAGAGAGUAUUUGUAAUGAUAUAAAGGAGAAAAAAAAGGAAAAAAAAUGAAAAUGUAACUGUUAGAACGCGUUCCACAAACCUUUAACCUUCUUCUAACGGUAACCAAUGCGCUCAAAUCCAUCUCCUCGGCGGUACUGCCCGCCACCCGCCGGAGCCCACUUCCGAUACCCUCCACUCUAAUAAAUAUCAUUAUUAUCUUCCAAUUUUAAGUAUCAUGAUAAGUACUGUGUUGACUUUGGGUUGACAUAAGGAAUAACAAUUAUUUUCUCUAAAAUUCUCCUUGCGAAUCAUUAUUUUGUUGAAAUGUACCUUUUCUUUAUGAGCAUAAUUACUUUAUUGAAUUUAGCUUGCCUUGAUAAAUAUCUUUUAUUUUCGUGAAGUUUACAUUGUCUUAAUAAAUAUCAUUACCACUUUAAUAAUUAUCAUUUCUAAUUCCACAAUAAAUAUCAUUAAAUAGUUUUCUUUAAUAAUUAUUAGACAAAAUUACAAAAAUGGUCCCUGUGGUUUGCCAAAAGUCACGAAGUCAGUAUCUGUUAAUUUUUUUUUGAUGUAAAUGGUCCUUGUGGUUUGCAAAACUUGCAAAGAUGACCCUUUUUACUAACACCAUUAGUAUUCAGCCGUUAGGGACUAAAUCUGUAAGGGUAUUUUCGUCUUUUCAAGUAUAAAGGGACUGAAUUCGUGACAUUUAAUAAACCAUAGGGACCAUUUUUGUAAUUUGUCUUAAAAUAAUAUAAAUGAUAGAAAAUGAAGUGUACUAUAUUCGAACUUUGGACCUCCUACCUUUCUCCCUUAAUCAACCAAAGCUUUAACCAACUAGGCUAGAGCCGCACUUGAUUUAUAUUUUCGAAAACUAACUAAUAUUAUCUACAAAUCGUAAAUAAAUUAAUAAUAAAAUAUUAAAAAAAACAUAUUUUUACAAAAAAAAAAAAUUAAUAAAACAAAAUAUAUUUUUAGCGUAUUGUAAAAAAAAAAUACAAACAAUUAUUUGUUUUUUUACGUAUUUAAAAAAAUAAGUUUCCGUAUACUUUUAAAUACAUAAAAAAAUAACGUAAUAACAUAUUCUACAAAAACAUAAUCCUAAAAAACAUAAAAAAAAGUUUUUUGUAUAUAUUUAUUUUAUGUGAAGAUUCAGUUCCUAACGGCUGAAUACUAACGGUGAUAGUAAAAAGGGCCAUCUUUGUAAGUUUUGCAAACCACAAGGACCAUUUACAUCAAAAAAAUUAACAGGGAUUGAUUUUGUGACUUUUGGCAAACCAUAGGGACCAUUUUUGUAAUUAUGUCUAAUUAUUAUUAUUUAUAGAAAAGAAUUGAAAAAAAAAGCGACACCAUCAAGGCAUCGAAGGAAAACCCAACACCCUCGUUGACUCUCCUCUCUGGUCGUCUCCCUUCCUCGUUGACUUGCUGUUUCCCUGCCGACUUAACGCGGUUCGCUCUGUACUUUUCACUCUUCAUCGAUCUUUCUCAGCCGCGUCACUGUUGGUUCAUCCUUUAUCGCUGCUGUUUCAGUUCUCCUUGUCAUCCUGUAUGCUUCUUAAUUACAAGUUGUUAGACAAUUUCAUCUUAUGAAUCAUAAAUCACAUCAUAAUCAUUUCGUUAUUUCACUAACAGGUGAUUGAAUAUUGUCUAUUUCCAUUAUUUUUGUUUUAUUUUAUAUAUCAAUUAGGAUACUCCACACUCCUUCUAGCCCAAAGUCCAGUACGAUGAACAAAAUUUCCUGCACGUUGAGAAUUCUUUGAUCCUUUAAAAUUUCUUCCUCAAUUCCUCUAUAUUUUCUAAUUCGCAACACGAUUUUUAGAUUUGAUUCUUUUUGAAUGAUGUUUAUGAACAAGCUUCAAUAUUUGAUUGUCAUAAUGAGUGUUUUGCUUGUGUAUAGACUAAAGAGUGCAUUUAGCUUUGAAAUUUCUUCUAUUAUUGAGUUUGAAAUUGAACCCUUAGAAAGGGCAAAGUGGAAGGCGUGUUUUGCUGGCUUCAGAAACAUAUCAUUUGGAACAAGCCCAUAAAUAUUGUUAGUUGAAACACUUAAAAUAAGAUGUAUGCUGAUACUAGAUCCAGUUAUAUAUGAAUUUUAAAUUUGUGUAGAUUGUUGUGCUAAUUUUGGAGAUCCAUAAUUAAACAACCUUGUCAAGCAAGUGCUGUUUUUUUUUGUUUAAAACUUUACAUCUUUCAAUUGUUUGUUGAUAUCUAGUAAAAGCUUGAAAUUUCCUAUAUGCUUUGCAAUUUCCUUCAUGGGAGGUAAUAGUGGAUCUUGUAGUUAUUUCAAGAAUGGUAUUUUGGUGUAGAUUUGUUUGACGAUUACUCUACUGAAAUUCAUAUGGAUUUUACUUAGAUAAAUAAGGAUCUUUAUGUGGGCUAAUCAAAUUAAAACAGAGGCGUUGUAGUUUCAAUGCAUAAAUUGGUUUGUUAUUUUCUUGAAUCUAAACUUAGCCAGAAAAACAGGUUAAUUAAUUGGUAACAGCUUUUAAAAUAAAUUUCAUGGCAAUGUAAUGGUUAUUCUAUAUCCAUACUUUGUUUUUGUGGGAAAGAAUAUUCUAUAUAAAUACUUAGUUAGCUAUAUAUGUUUUGGCUAAAGGAUCCAAAAACCUGUCACAUAAUUAUUAUUGCCAUGAGAUUGCUGUUGUAGUGAUUUAACAGCGUCUCUUUGUAUUUCAAACACAGCAGCAACCGAUUAAUGCUUAUUCUUUUGUGUUCCUUUUCCAGUGUUUAUUUGAUGAGAUUGAAGUUGCAUAUUUUAAAUAUUAAUAAUUUGGAUUUUAUGUACAGGCUUUAUUUGAACCACAAGUUAAGAGCUUCUAGCUUAUUGAGAUACACAAAGGCUUAUCAACCCAUAACUCAUAAUGGUUAUUCUCUCUGAACUCCUCUCAGAAGGAUCUUCAUCUUCUUCAUCAAAUAGUGGUCAUAGUCCAACUGAUGGUCAAAGUUCAUCAACUGAUGGUUACAUGUACGAUGUAUUUUUAAGUUUUAGAGGUGUUGACACUCGUCAUAGUUUCACUGAUCACCUUCAUAAAGCCCUCAUUGAUGCCAAUAUCACUACGUUCUUGGAUGAUGAAGAGAUUGAAACAGGGGAAGAUCUGAAACCAGAACUAGAGACUGCAAUUAAGGCAUCUCGGGGUUCUAUCAUUGUGAUGUCUAAGAAUUACGCUUCUUCAACAUGGUGUCUGGAUGAAUUGGUGUUGAUCCUUGAGCAGCAUAUGACAUCUGAUCAUAUUAUUAUCCCCAUAUUUUAUCAUGUUGAGCCCACUCAUAUCGGGAAGCAACAAAGUAGCUUUGGAGAUGCAAUGGCUAAGCAUAAACAGACAAUGGAGGCAGAGACAAAUGCAAAUAAAAGAAGUGAAUGGGCUCAAAAGAUGGACCGAUGGAAUAAAGCCCUUAUAGAAGUAGCUAAUUUAAAAGGAAAAGACGUCAAUGGAAGGUAACUGUUUUCUUACCUAUAUUUCCAAAAUUCUUCAAUUUUGUUUGAUUAACACAUGAAUGUUAGUAUCAUCUUCUCCCAAUGCAUUUCAAUAAGUUUCUUUAACAUCACUAAAAAGACAUAUNUAUAUAUAUAUAUAUAUAUAAUGUAUUAGGAUAUAAAUUCCACACAUUUUUUUAUGCAUUUUGUGUUUCAUUAUAAGUUACUUCAUUUAGACAAACUGUUCCAAUUAUUUUGUAUGCUUUCUAUUAAGAAAACAAGAUUUGAAGGGUUUGCUAUGCAUCUACUAUUACUUAUACCAUACCACCUUAUAAUCAUAGUGUCUUUUAUGAUAAAUAACUUAUCUUACCUUUAAGCAGUAAAACAUUACUUAUAACUGGCACUUUUUUCAAAACACGCCACAAUGAUAGUUAUGAUGGUCUUGUGUAAAUGCAGUGAAGUUAGGUUGUCCAUUAGUGAAAUCUGGUAUUACAUUGGAACUUGUAUGGUUAGAACAUAGAAGUGUAAACACAAUAUCAUUUUAAUGUGAAGGACUUGAUUAAAAUUAAUAGCUAUGAUAUAAUUUUGAUUUUGGUUCUUUGGACAAAUUAAAUCUCCAAAUCCAGUUUGUUAGUUCUGUGGUUCAUAUAAAAUCUGAUUUCAGGCUAGAGACGGAAUUUAUUGAAGAAAUUGUGAAGGACAUCCAACGUAGGUUACAUGUACGCUUAAGGAGUGUCCGGCAACAACUUAUUGGGAUGGACUAUGAUAUUAAGUUCAUCACUUCAUGGUUGAAAGAUGGAUCCUCACAUACGGCAGACAUACUCACUAUUUAUGGUAUAGGAGGGAUUGGGAAGACAACUUUAGCCAAACAUGUCUAUGGGCUAUAUGCUCACAAAUUCCACAAAAGCAGCUGUAUUGAAGAUGUUAGUAGGGUAUGUGAUGGAAAGUUUAAUGGGUUGCUUGAUUUACAAGAAAAACUAAGCAGUGACAUUUCAAAAACAAGUUCCGUUAAAGUUCAUGAUGCUUCGGUAUACACCUCAAAGAUAGAGAAUGCAGUAGCACGUAAAAGGGUGUUUCUUGUUCUUGAUGAUAUUAGCACGCUUGAUCAGUUGGAUGCGUUACUUGGAAGCAAAGGUUUUCAUCCCGGAAGCAAAAUAAUUAUAACCACAAAGGAAAGACAUUUGAUAGAGAGGUGUGCACUAUUCAAAACAGACAUUAAACCAAAGCAUACAAAGCUCUUGCUUCAAGGCUUACAUGAGACCGAAUCAUGGAAACUUUUGUGUCUCCAUGCAUUCAAAUGCAACUAUCCCAAGACAGGUUAUGAAGGGGUGUUAUAUAAGCUUGUGAAGUAUUGUCAAGGACAUCCAUUGGCUCUUGUAGUAUUGGGAAAAUCUCUAUAUGAUCGAGAUGUAACUUAUUGGGAAGGGUGCAUAGAAGGGCUAAAGAAAGAAACAGAUUCUCAUGUGAAUAAUGUCUUGAGAAUGAGCUUUAACUCUUUGCCAUCCAAAAAUGAUAAGGACUUGUUUAAGUAUAUUGCUUGUUUUUUUGUUGGAAUAGAUAGAGAUGUUGCUGAAACAAUAUUAAAGGCAUGCAAUAUAAACAUAAGAUCUGGAAUCCCGAAUCUCCUCGACCGAUUCCUUCUUUCGAUUGGAUGGAAAAACAAAUUGAAGAUGCAUCAGUUGGUUCAAGAGAUGGGAAGGUUCGAAGUACGUCAAGAAUCACAUGACAAGCCAUGGAAGAGAAGUCUAUUAUGGUGUCAUGAGGAGUCAUUCAGAGUAUUAAAACAAAAAAAGGUAAGAGGUCAUAUGUGGUUUUAAAAGUAUGCAUGUUAAAAAUAUUGUGUAUGGUCUCAACUUUUUAUUUACAUUAUGUUUCUUCUUAGGGUAAGGGAAAUCUUGUUGGCCUUGCCCUUGACAUGCGCAUGCUUGAGAAAGAGAUGUUGGGUGCAUCAUAUAAGUUAAAAACAAAUGCAUUAAGUAAGAUGGAUAAUUUGAUGCUACUACAACUCAAUUAUGUUCACAUGAAUGGGUCUUAUGAGAACUUUCCACCGGAACUAAGAGGUUUGUGUAUGCAUGGGUUUCAUUUAAAGUAUAUACCUUCAGAACUACCUAUGGAGAAUCUUGUUGCUCUUGACAUGUCAUAUAGCAAUAUUGAAUCAUUUAUCGGUUGUUAUAGUAAUCCACAACGACUUGAGAAGAGGCAAAAGGUAACUUAUCUUCAUUUAUUAUUUUUCCAUGUUUAGUUGAAUUUCACUCCCAUUCUAACUUCUUUCCAUUUUUAUAGUUGGAUGGAUUAUGCUUAAAAAACAAAAGGUUGCUUGGAUCAUUGAAGGUUCUUAAUUUAAGUUCCUGUAAACAACUUUGUAGUCUUGGUGACUUUAACCAAUUCCCAGCUCUCGAGAGGUUAAUAGUUAGAAAUUGCACUCGUUUGCUUGAGGUUAGUGAAUCAAUUGAGCAGUGUGUUGAACUUGCCCUCAUCGAUCUAAGCUACUGCAAGCAGCUUAAAAACCUUCCAAGAAUCAUAGGCAUGCUAAAGAAAGUUAAAACAAUGUUGCUAGAUGGUUGUAAUCUGGGUGAAUCUCAAACUGAGGAUACAAAUUUAGAUAUGGAUUCACUGGACAUGUGCAAUGCUAACAAAAACAUUAGCAUAAGCACAAGAACCUCUUUCUCCACCUUUGUGGGUGCUAUACCAAGCCGUUUGAAGUUUUUUUCAAGUUCUUUGCCAAGAUCUCUAGUAAGGUUGUCCCUUGUAAAUAAUAAUUUGUCCACUGAAUCCUUUCCUAUGGAUUUUAGUAGUCUGUCCUUGUUAAAGGAAUUAUAUUUAGAUGGAAAUCCUAUCCAUUCCAUGCCCAAUUGUGUGAGAACCCUUCAUAGGGUUGAGAUACUUAGUAUGCUAAACUGUAAUAAAUUGAAGUUGGUCGAACAUCCUCCACACACACUAAAAAUCUUGCUCUAUUCUGAUCGCGAGUCUUUAGAAAAAGUUGUAUUUGAUCCCAAAAUGUCUCCCCUCAUGUUAUUUUAUUUUCCAAGAAGUUACACCCCUAGGUCGUAUGAAAUUGAAGGCAUGGUGAAAAUCCAGACAAUGGUGGGUGUUGAGGAAAAGGUAUUACGUAGCUUGGGCUGGAUUAAUUUACUCCAUAACAAAAGGAAUGUGGGAAAUAAUCCUACGGAAUCUGGAAUGCAGGUUUUGUCAAGUUAACUGUCUUUCUUUAUUUGACUACAUAAAAUACUAUAAUAUAAUCAUUUAAUUUAGAUGUUUGUAUUUGGCAGAUGUUAUAUGAAUUUGGAAUAUUCAGCACAACAUAUGACGCAGAGGAGAUGCCGAGUUGGUUUAUUCAUAGAAGCGCAGGGCCAUCGAUUUCAUUUACAAUCCCAUCAUCAUCUCCAAAUAAUCUCCUUAAAGGAAUCAACUUCUGCUUUCUGCAGACAAUGAGAGUUUUGUAUGAGUUGCCUGUAAGUCUACAUGAUCAUUUCCGCAUUACACCGAUGAUCACAGUUAGUAAUAUAACAAAGAACCGCAUGUGGAUAUACGAACCUCUCUGGGACAGAUACUUUGUAGAUAAAAAGUGUAGGGUGGUGUUAAGUCAUUGGAUGUUAGGGAUGAAUGAGAUGGAGCCUGGUGACCACAUUACUGUUACUGUUACAGAGCCAUCUUAUGAACUUACAAAGGAGUGUGGUGUGAGUCUUGUGUAUGAGGAUGAUGGAGAGAAGAAGGAUGAAGAAGAUGUGUUGGGUUAUUACAAGUCAUGGAAUCACAUAAUUGGUGGAGAUCUCUCUCCUUUUCAGACAACUACAGGACAAUUCAUCCUAAGAAACCAGCAGUUUGUUACAUGUGGCUUAUGUAUAAUGACCCAUUUAUUUUAACAGAUAACUUAAAUCUUUUAAACAACUGGAUCAUAUAUACUAUUGAUUUUAUUGACCCAUAAGAUAAGAUGUUGUUUUAUAAAAAUAUUAAAGAUAANUAUAUAUAUAUAUAUAUAUUAUUGAUUUUAUUGACCCAUAAGAUAAGAUUUUGUUUUUAUAGUAAAAAAUAAAAGUUGUACUUUUAAUUUAUAAAAUGAAUAGAUGCAAGCAUUGAUUCAGAAACGGGGACAGUUUUGGUCCCAGGGGUAUUUUGGGAAAACUUUCCUAAUUUAAAGUUUUGAGUUAGUUUAGGAUUCCAAUUAGUUUAGUAUAAAUAGGGUAUGGUUGUGUGACAUUUUUAAUUAAGUUUUUUUUCAGUAAUAAAAUAUGGAGAACAAGUAAUUUUCCCAGAUUUCUUCCUCCCCUGUUUCGCUCAUGCUCUGUUUCUUUUCUGCACACAGUUGAAGUUUCCAUUCUGUCAUAAUCAAGUGAAUUGAUUCUUGUGUUAAGUUCAUUUUCAAGAGAAUUAAGCGAAUUAAUUCCUUCAUCACUUUCCAUAAAUAGAUGGAUAAUGACCCAUUUAUUUUAAUACAUAUGUCAUAACUUAAAUCUUUUAAACAGGAUCAUAUAUACGAUUGAUUUUAUUGACCCAUAAGAUAAGAUUUUUGGUUUGGUAUGGUGUGGUGGCAUCCAUUAUACCCUACCCUGAGGAGUAUUUAAACUUUUCAUUUUCUAGAUGAUUGUCAGCUAAGAAAAUUCUAGUAGCAAAAAGUAUUUGAGAGGCCCUUCCUCUUGAAAGAAUGGGAAAACCCUAUUAUUUAUAUAAUUCAUUAUCAGUUAGUUGUUUCUGGUUGUGAAUUUCCUGCUUAUUCUCUUUACUCCGUGUGGGGCUUAUCAGCACACUCAAUUGAUUAAGUCUUUCGAUAUGUUGGAUCACAUAAAUAUAUAUGGACCCAAUACGUAUGACUACUUUGUCCAAGUAGGUUGUUUGUGAACAAUGAUUAACAUAUCACUUUUAAUCUAUUUUCAGUAUGAAAGGAAAAGUUUUGGUUCAGAGCUUUAUCCCUAAGGAAGCUUGACAUAAGUCGUCGCGCACAUGAGGUAUACUUUUUGACACCCAAACCUUUUCUCUCAUCGCGUAAACAAAAGGAAUACACAACCGAAUAUUAGGAAUCAAAGCUCUCAAUUCGUUUAGGGUGUAACAAAAUAAGGGAGUUAUAACCUUUCAUUGAAUGCAUUGAAGUGGAAAUAUUAAAAUUUGGAAUCAUUGAAUACUACAAAUAUCUGUUCAUACCAUGUCUAAACACUAAGGGUCAAAAUCUAGGAUUGAAUUCUCACCACUCUCUGUCACAGUGUAAUAUGCAAUUGAGACCAAUUCAUAGAUUAAUAAUUUUCAGUAGAUGUUGUUCUUGGGUAAAUUCUAUGUUAAUAACAAACUAUUACACUUUGGAAGACAAUAUGAAAUUGUGUAAGCAUAUUGCUUGAUUUUAAGGAAUCUUAUUGAUAGAUUCAUUCUUAGGAUAGAACCAAGCAACAUGUUGAGAAUGCUUAAAUUGCUUCAAGAAUUUGGAAGAGAUGUGUCACCAGGACUCAUUAAUUCUGUUGAAUCAAGAAAAUGUAACAUAAUAUAUACGCUUCCAAGUAACUAUCUGUUUUCAUAACAUUUUGUGUUGUAUCCUGUAUAAUAUAUAACUUUUAAAAUUUUCUUACUUUUCGUUUCUAUGUAGGGUGAGGGGGGAUCUUCAAGGUCUCAUCCUUCACAUGAAAAGGAUUGAGAAAGUGAGGCUACAUGACUGGCAUGAGUUGAAAAUAGAUGCAAUGGGAAAAUGGGUAGCCUGAUGCUAUUGCAAACUCAAUCGUCUAUGACCUACUUUUCCAGAAGUAUUAAGAUAAUAUAUACCAGCCUCUACUACAAAAUUGAACACAUUUGGAAUUGUAUGUUAUUUCCCCAUGAUUCUUUUAAGCAUAGGUAUCAAAAUUAAACACUUCUUGAAUUGUGUGCUAUUUCUUGAUCAUAAUUUGAGCUGAAAUCUUGACCAUUGCCUUAUCAACAAUGUCUAUCGUGUCUAUGGACUCAAAAGCUCAAAUCCUUGAUAGGAUUCUAUAAUUUAUUUGGAUACUAUGUAAAAUUCGCUUGCUUCACCUUAAUAUUUUAAGACUCCGAUUCUGAAAGAUGAGAAUUC